rnacentral:lncRNA from 1 species
UUCAAAAAGAGCUCUGCUCCCAACCAAAAAGGGGAGACUUGUUUGUUGUCAAUCGCCGGUUGGGUUUACCAACCAAGAAAGAAUUGGGAAAGACAAGAUGCACAAAGGAAACUUAACUGGGAAGAGUCGCGACAGCUUCCACGCGCGUGUCGCGCCGCUAUAUGCUGUCCCCUACCCAGGAGCUAGGCUCGGCCCAUACAGUACCAGGGAGGAAGCCGAUAGCAUUAGGAAGGAGAAUUAUCAGCACUUUACACAGAGAAAGCAUGAUGAACAAUUAGCUGCUGGUAAACAGUCCCAUGCCAGCUAUCACACAUCUCACUUUACGCAGAGUCAGCGCGAAGAAAGGCAGAUCAACUUCCUUUCUCUUACUUAC